rnacentral:rRNA from 1 species
CCUACGGGUGGCAGCAGUGAGGAAUAUUGGUCAAUGGGCGAGAGCCUGAACCAGCCAAGUCGCGUGAAGGAUGAAGGAUCUAUGGUUUGUAAACUUCUUUUAUAUGGGAAUAAAGUGAGGAACGUGUUCCUUUUUGUAUGUACCAUAUGAAUAAGCAUCGGCUAACUCCGUGCCAGCAGCCGCGGUAAUACGGGGGAUGCGAGCGUUAUCCGGAUUUAUUGGGUUUAAAGGGUGCGCAGGCGGAUUUUUAAGUCAGCGGUCAAAUCGUGGGGCUCAACCCCAUCCAGCCGUUGAAACUGGGGAUCUAGAGUGUGCGAGAGGUAUGCGGAAUGCGUGGUGUAGCGGUGAAAUGCAUAGAUAUCACGCAGAACCCCGAUUGCGAAGGCAGCAUACCGGUGCACAACUGACGCUCAGGCACGAAAGCGUGGGUAUCGAACAGGAUUAGAUACCCCAGUAGUC